rnacentral:rRNA from 1 species
GGAAACUCUAGAUUAAUACCCCUAUAGGUCUUUAUGCUUGGAAUGGUUCAUGAUUCAAAUGAAUGUUCCCUGUAGGAUGGGAUUGCGAGUCUAUCAGCCUGUCGGUGAGGUAAUGGCCCACCAAGGCUAUAACAGCUACGGGCUUUGAGAGGAGUAGCCCGGAGAUGGGUAUUGAGACAAGGACCCAGGCCCUAUGGGGCGCAGCAGGCGAGAAAACUUUGCAAUGCGCGAAAGCUCGACAAGGUUAAUCUUGAGUGGUUCCUGCUAAAGGAACCUUUUGUUAGUCGUAGAACCUACUGCAUGAUAAAGGGGUGGUGCAAAGUCCUGGUG